CCUGAACGUCCCCUUUUCACCACGUGAGGUUCUGGAGUCAUGAUCUUAUUCUGCCCACCCCAGGGCGGCUAAGCGUGAGUCCAGGCUGCUCCGCCUCCCCUGUUAAUUCAGGUCCUGGCCAUCGUCCGGAGGGGAAACUGAGGCUCUGAGAGGGAGGCGACCUGCCUGGUCAUGUGCUGGUGAGUGGCCCAGCCCAGGUGAGAGCCGGCGGUGGGGCUUCCCUGCCCUCCCCGAGGCGAUUCUGGCCAAGGGAGGUGGGUGCGCCGGGAGGUGCCCAUGGCCUUGUGCCGGGAUGUGGCACUUGUGCUGGAGCCUGUGUGGGCACCAUCCAGGUCCCUGCGUGGAUCAUGCUAAGGGGAGGGGAGCGGAGGGGAGGGCAGGGCCCUUGGGACAGGAGGGCAGUGCUGUGGGAGGCUGCUCACUGUGACACCUUUGGAGAUCGGCCUGGAGCAGCUGCUGUGGCUGCCUUGUGUUGAAACGUGGACAGUGUUUGACCUUCGGUUACUAAAGCAGCUCUAUGAUUGCACCCUCUGCCCCAAGGGGGGCGGGAGGAACUGCCCUGCUGGUGCCUGCCAGGCUGGGCCAUGGCAGAAGCUGGGGGUGUGUGUGUGUGGUGUGGGUGCACACGGUCUGUACGCUGUGCGUGCUGCAUGUGCUCGUGGUGUGUAUUGUGUGGUAUGUAUCGCUCAUGGUGUGUAUUUGUGUCUCAUGUGUGUUGUGUGGUAUGUGGUGUGUAGUGUCACAGGAGAGGCCUGAACCUCUGGGGUGAAGAUGAGGUGCUCAGGCAGCUCAGGAGGGGGCCAGGAGCUCUGCGAGGGCUGCCAGCCAGACACCAGCCUAGGGUCAGACCCAGCUAUGCUCUUGGCACAGUGGCCUUGGGCAAGUCACUGCCACGCCAGGCCUUCAUAUUCCUGUGAAUGAGGAGGGGGCUACUCCUAAAGCCUGCAUCCUGAGCUUCCAGGACUCAUGGGUGUCUCCAGAAAGGGAAAAAUGAAUAAUGAUGACAACAAUGGUGAUGGUGGUGAUGAUGGUGAUGGUGGUGAUGAUGGUGAUGAUAGUGAUGGUGGUGAUGAGAAUGAUGAUGGUGGUGAUGAUGGUGGCAGUGGUAACAAUAGUGAUGAUGAUGAUGGUGGUGAUGAUAGUGGUGAUGGUGGUGGUGGUGGUGAUGGUGGUGACGAUGGUGGUGAUGAUGGUGAUGAUAGUGAUGGUGGUGAUGAGGAUGAUGGUGGUGGUGAUGAUGGUGGCGGUGAUAACAGUAGUGAUGAUGAUGGUGGUGAUGGUUAUGGUAACAAUGAUGAUAAUGAUGGUGAUGAUGGUGAUGAUGAUGACUAUGAAGGUGAUGUGAUGGUGACGAUGGUGAUGGUGGUGGUGAUGGUGAUGAUGGUGAUAGUGGUGAUGGUGGUGGUGG
rnacentral:lncRNA from 1 species